rnacentral:rRNA from 1 species
UGCGCAGGCGGCUUUUCAAGUCGGAUGUAAAAUCUCCUGGCUCAACUGGGAGGGACCAUCCGAUACUGUUAGGCUCGAGUGCAACAGAGGAGAGUGGAAUUCCCGGUGUAAUGGUGGAAUGUGUAGAUAUCGGGAGGAACACCAGUGGCGAAAGCGGCUCUCUGGGUUGUUACUGACGCUGAUGCACGAAAGCGUGGGGAGCAAACAGGAUCAGAUACCCUGGUAGUCCACGCUGUAAACUAUGGACACUGGGUACAGGGAGUAUCGACCCUCUCUGUGCCGAAGCUAACGCGUUAAGUGUCCCGUCUGGGGACUACGGCCGCAAGGUUAAA